CCUACGGGUGGCAGCAGUGGGGAAUAUUGCUCAAUGGGCGAAAGCCUGACGCAGCAACGCCGCGUGAGUGAAGAAGGAUUUCGGGAUGUAAAGCUCUUUUAGCAGGGAAGAAAAUGACGCUACCUGUCUAAGAAUCCCCGGCUACCUACGUGCCAGCAGCCGCGGGAAGAAGGCGGGGGCGAGCGGUAUUCGGAUUUACUGGGUGUAAGGGGGGCGUUGGCGGUAAUGCAAGGCUGAAGGGAAAGCACGGGGCUUAACCGCGGGACGGCUUUGGAAACUGGGGAUCUGGAGUGCGGGAGAGGCAAGCGGAAUGCGGGGUGUAGCGGUGAAAUGCGUAGAUAUGAGGAGGAACACCAGUGGCGAAGGCGGCUUGCUGGACAGUAACUGACGCUGAGGCUCGAAAGCGUGGGGAGCAAACAGGAUUAGAUACCCGAGUAGUC
rnacentral:rRNA from 1 species